ensembl:lncRNA
UGGGUCUCGCUGGUGUGUCUGAGUCACUCUGCGUGGGUGUAACGCUGCUCUGGUUGUUAUUAAUCUCUCUGAAGCCUCUUUGCAGUGAUUAAGGGAGCACUGUAUGAAAGCAGUCUGCUGCGUGGGCUCUCACCAAGAAAGACCCACUAAGUGGAUUUUGCCAGAUCCUUUAGCCAAACUGCUCUUUUCUUGGCAACUGCAGCGUGCAUCAACAUAAAUGUAAAGUCAAUUUCUAGUGUAUUUUUAAUGUCCUUUAUUCAUGUUUUUUGGACACGGCACAAACCACUAAAAUGAAAGCACAGUACUUAAUGUAGCCAGUCACUUUUCUGAUGUGCCAGUGUGUAUAAAUAAGCCUGAGCAGGAGACAAGAAUUCACAGUUAAAAGACAGAAAGAACAAGCAUGCAUGUUCUUACUGGUGAUUGUCUUUGAGUGAAGAAGGGAUUUCAGUGGUCCUCUUGAGAGGGAUGAGCAAGGAGUGGAGCUGGACCCCCAGUUGGCAUCCAUAACAGCCCAACAAGUGGCCAGGGAUCUGCUCUGCUAAGGCAGCUUUUUUCCAAGCUGACUGCUAAGGACUGGGUUUCUGGGGAGCAGAAGAGCUGCGCUCUCACCAAGUUUGCUGUGGAGAUGAGAUCAUAUGGAAGUGGCCAGCAGAAACAUAGAAGAGAGCAUGAGAUCUACUAUGCCCAGAAGGCCUCUGAAACCUCCGAAAUUUCUUCUCUCUGUAAGGCCAGCAAGUUCAUCCUUAAGAAGGCAGAGAAGAAUGCCCAGAUGGGAGAUAUACUCAGAAGUGACCAGUUUGGAUGUAAAGUGUAAUCAUUUAUGAUGAGAGGACAUGAUUUCCACCUAGGAUGCCAGUCUCUUACAGAAGAAUGACUUACAAUAUUGCAGAUGAAAAAGAACCCACAAAUUUUCAAUUGCAGAGAGCAGCAGGAAAAUCCUGUGUGGGCUCAUCUUUCCCCUUCUCAACCAAGCAGAGCUGACAGGAAGCAUGAAUCAUCCUGCACCUCUGCACAGUUGUGUCAAACCUACCUGCAUUUGAGACACAUUGCAGAGUUUGUGUCUUGUUCUCCUUUUCUCCUGGCAAGUCAAUGGGCAGAGGCCGAAGGCUGUUCGAUCAACUUGAUGCUCACCUCACAACUGGAGUGAAGGGACAUUCCUUGCAGGAGAGACCAGCCUUACCCUAUCUGGGGUCCCCAUAAUUGUUUAUUCCUCUCUUCUAGGAACAAGAAGAUGGUUGAUGUACUGUGGACCACCUCUGAAUUCAGGACAUUCCACACACUCUAAUGACUUCUCUUUUUGAGGAAUAUUCCUAGCAUUGUGUCUGUUCACCCUGGUUAUGCUUCCUAACCGCUUUUCUUUCUGUCCUCACACACCCUUCUCCUAUCCCCUUCUCAGUAAAAUGCUGCAUAGGGAUGCAGAGCAGCUUGGCACUGGACUUUCAAUAUAUUUAAACACAAGCAAUUCACUGAGCUGGAAAAUUGUAAAUCUGCAAUUUUAUUUAAAAAAGUGGUCACACUGUUCUUUGAAGCCAUGUUUAGAGACAGCAGGAUAAUUAAUAGACCUUUGUGUGAUACAGAGGCAAAGGAUGACAAAUUUUAAUAAAAUUGGUAGGAUUUGUUUUUUAAAUUUUAAGAAGCAAAUUUAUGUGCCUAGUUUUACUUACUGUUACAAGAAGAGAAAGGAUGUUAAAAACAUCCUGUGCAGGUUAAAGCACUGUCACACACCUUUUUCCUCUGAACUAACAUUAAGGGGGCAACAACAGGCACUGAGGCAUUAGUAAUGUCUGCUCAGUGCGUAUGCAGUGCCUGCCCUGCACCAUGUCUAGACACCUUCCUAGCAUUUCAUGUAACAGCAUUUCAAACCAAACCAGAGAGAGACCAGAGCUGUCAUCAUAGCUCAUUCCAGUUAUUAAGCACACCCUCACUUGAUGUGCUGCUCGGAAAGUGAAGCAAGACACACAACAAAAGUAAAAGACGUUUAAAGUGGCCAACAUAAGAGAUGAGGCAAGAGCCAACCAAAGUGAAAAAUAAAGGUGAACAUUUUCAAAGGUAGGAAAGGAGACUCUCACAUAGAGGGAGAGAAUAACUGAAAUGAAACAGAACUUGUCAUCAUCCUUUUUAAGAAAUGCAACUGGACUGACGUAGCUGUACUGAAUUAUGGAUGAUGUCGUGAAUUAUGUGUGCAAAGAACCACUACACAGAUGAGAUAGCACCAGUUUGGAGGAGAAAAAGACCACAGAGCUGUAUUUCCUGGCCACAAAAAUACAGAAGAAGUGAUGAGAGAAACAACAGCUUCUUGAGAGAAAUCCAUUUGAAUUAAGGACAGGGUAUGAAUUUACAGUGGAGUACAAGGAAAACCGUGAAUUAGCGAAGGCACUUUAGGAGGAAUAUGUCUUCCAGAAUAAGCCUUGAAGACAGGUAAGCCCUGUGGGAAACAAAGGACUCUGCAGAGAAAAUGGGCAGUAGGGCAGCUGUUGAGUAGUCUCUUGGUUGCUGACAGUUGCAUUUGUUAGAUUAUUCCAAUUUCAUAAUACUUAAAUUAAGUGGUUGGCUGGGACUUGCGCCUUCAACACUCCUGGAAGGAGCUCUGCUGAUUAAAGAGAAAUGAAAUAUCAGAUGAAAACCAGACGUAUUCCACUCCUUCUGUUUUCUGCCAGCUCUGUCAUUCAGUGUCUGUAAUAUACCCAUCGUGCAGGAACUGAGUCAUGUGCCUAGGUCCCUCAUUUACAGAGCAUGUCCUGCAAACACUGAACAUAGCAGAAACGGUGUUUGACAGUGUUAUCUGUCAAGGGUAACUAUUAAUUCAAUCUCAUGAUACUUAAAGUAGAACAGAAUAUCAAUUUGUUUCGCCACUUAUGUUAAACUGCAACAUUUAGGAAUAUAGUCUGUGUAGUAAAAGAACAGCAUCUGCUGUGAGCUUGGAAAACAAAUUACUAUUGCUUGUUACCAUCUUUGCAUAAAUAUUUGGGGAAUUGGUAUUUUAUUUUUUUUAUUUUGCAAAGGAUUCUCUCUUCAAUUAGUCCCACAGCCUCUCUGGGUUCUUAUUUUCUUUGCUCUCAGCAGUUGUGCGCAGUUACAGCAAAUCAGGCCUCAUGAACCACAGGCACUUGCACACUUGUUUCCAUAGCUGGGUACAGCACUCAGUGAGAGGAUCUACUCAGGCAUAUGGCCUGCAAUAAGCUGAGCUCCAACGAGCUGGAACUUCCUGCUUUAACAGUUAUUUGGCCAUUUGUUUUCAUGCUGCAGCUCUUCGAUU